UAGAAGGAGCCCAGGUUUUGAAGGGGGUGUUCCCUACAUGCCAGAGCUAAGCACAGGGUUGGAGGCUAGGGAAUGGAAAAGCUUCCCAAUUCAGGCAUUUCUGGAAGCAGUUGUGGCUAUUUCAGGGGGAGCUACAAACACAAGGCAAAGAGUCUUUUGAUCCCACACUUCUGUGUGAGCUUCGGAGAGACAAUCUUCCGGAUCUGGUGGUGACUUUUAAAAAAAGCGUCUCUGGAAUCCAUCCCCAGGCAGGCAGAAUUCGGUCUGAAGAUGCUCCCCAAGAGCACCUCAAAGAGCACCAGCAGGCCUUCCUCGGCAGGGACCUCCUUUAUCCAUGAGCGUUCUCUUCCCAGCCUCAUGUCCCACGGGUCCCUCCACUCUCUCCCUGAAGUCAGAUGGCGCUGGGGUUUCCCUGCGGGAACCACCCGCACAUUCGUGAGUGGAGAGAGUGCCAGCCGGGAGUCAGGCUCACUUGACUGAAGCUCCGCUUCCCUCGCUCCCCACCCACCCCUUCCGCGGCUCAGCCUGGAUCCCGCUGCUCGAUUCUCCAAGUGCCGCGUUCAUGCUGGAAGCCAGCGUUCCCCACAGUGUCUUCUGUGAAGACAAAUCCUGGGAGACGUUGGCGUUCCGGGAGAAGAAAUCGAUUCCUCAAAAAUAAGCAAAUUUUUAAUUUAAGGUGAUGUUUCAAGGAGACGUCGAUAUAUUAACGUGCUUUGCGAGUGUUUAAGAGGAAGGGGUGAAGGGCAGGGUUCUCCAAAGUUGUUGGCUACCUGGAGACCGUCUCGAGGAGUUGGACUAGAACUUGGUACUCACGAUGAUAAGCAGUGACAGGCCAGGCGCGGUGGCUCACGCCUGUAAUCCCAGCAUUUUGGGAGGCCGAGGCAGGUAGAUCACUUGAUGUCAGGAGUUGGAGACCAGCCUGGCCAACGUGGUGAAACUCUGUCUCUAUUAAAAAUACAAAAAUUAGCCGGGAGUGGUGGCGCACACCUGCAACCCCAGCUGCUCCGGAGGCUGAGGCAUGAGAGUAGUUUGAACCCGGGAGGCAGAGAUCGCAGUGAGUCCAAAUCGCGCCACUGCACUCUGGCCUGGGCGACAGUGAGACUCCAUCUCAAAUAAAUAAAUAAAUAAAAUAAGUAAAUAAAUAAAUAAAUAAAUAAACAAACAAACAAUGACAACAUUCCAUGCUCCAGGAACUGGUCUCGGUGCGGUACUGAAGAUUGAUUCAACGGUGAGAACGUCAAGCACGUACUAGUCUCCACGGGCUUACACUGUGGAGGAAAAAAUAUAAACAAACAAACAAAAAUAGCUAUAUUAUACAGCAGGAAGUGAGAAGUGACUAGAAGAAAAGUCAACCCAGAUAAGAAAAGGAAACAAUUAUAAUAGAACUUGAAUAUUUUAUAUCUUUUCUUUUUACACAUUUUGACAUUUAUUAUGAAAAUGUUGCAAGUUGAGAUAAAAUUAUAACAAAUCCCCAUAUGCUAAUUACUUUUUAAAUUAUCUUGUUUAAUCUAUAGACGCACCAUUCGUUUCCUGGUGUAUUUUAAAACAAAUUACAGACACCAUUCUAUUUUAAAUAAUAAAUGGUUUAGCAUAUAAAUCUAACAAAUAAUGACUUUUUGACACAAUUGCAGUGGAAUUAUGGCCUCUAAAACAUUAACGAUAAUUACUUAAUAGUACAGGUUGAUUCCUUGUCUGAAAUGUUCGGGAUCAGAAUUGUUUCAGAUUUCAGAUUUGUGGGGAUUUUAGAAUAUUUGCGUAUACAUAAUGAGAUAUCUUGGGGGCGAGACCUAAGUCUAAACACGAAAUUUAUUUGUCCUUCAUAUGCACCUUAUAUGCAUAGCCUGAAGAUAAUUAUGUAUUUUCACUAAUUUUGUGCAUGAAACAAAGGUUGUGGACACGAGGUCGCGUAUGAAUUUCUUUACUUGUGGUAUCAUGUAGGUACUCAAAAUUUUACAAAUUUGGAGCAUUUUGGACUUGAUUUUUGGAUUAGGGAUGCUCAACUUGCAUCUAAUACUCGGCUAGUAUUAUUUUAAUAAUUUGCUAAUCACCUCAAAAUGUCUUUUAUUAUAGCCAGUGUGUUAGAGUGCAAAAAAAUAAGUAUUCACAUUGCAUUUAGUUGAUAAAUCUCUUACGUCUUACUUGGAAGGCAUUUCCCUCCCCGCUGCCACCGAACCAUCGUUUCUUCAAUGAAAAGGCAGAUUUGUUUUUCCUGUGUUUUUUUCUCCCAUUGUGAUUGGCUGCCUGCAUGCUAGAACUUUUAUGUAACAUGUUCAUCUCUGUACCAUAUAUCUUCUGUCAAUUGGUAGAUAGACCUACAGCCUUCAUUAAAUUUGGCUUCAUUCUUUAGGCAAAAUUAAUUCAUUGACUGUGUUUGAACUUCUUGUUGCACUGUAUCUGGAGGCAGGUAUUAUGGUUGGCCAGCACGGUCCCAUGGUGCCAAUCUCAAUCCUCUUUCAAAAAAUUGCCUCAGCAUACUUUGCUGCUCCUGAUCUAGGAGCUACUGGUCUAGGAGCAAUUUUAUUCAGGCUUUCGGAGUUAUGAUUUUCAAUUUCUACUAUUUCUUCUGCAUAAUUAGCCAGAAUCUUUCUAUGCAGAAGAAACCCUUCUAAAGAUUACAGCACUUUGGGAGGCCGAGACGGGCAGAUCACGAGGUCAGGAUAUCGAGACCAUCCUGGCUAACACAGUGAAACCCUGUCUCUACUAAAAAAAAAAAAAAAAAAAAAAAAUUAGCUGGGCAUGGUGGCAGGUGCCUGUAGUCCCACCUACUUGGGAGGCUGAGGCAGGAAAAUGGCGUGAACCCGGGAGGCAGAGCUUGCAGUGAGCCAGGAUCGCACCACUGCACU
rnacentral:lncRNA from 1 species